UACAAUUAUAAAAAGUGCAAAAAACUGUUAUAAAAAGUGCAAAAAAUCGUUAUGUAUUCUAAUCAAAGAUAACGGUUAAAAUCGUUAUAAAAAGUGCAAAAAUCGUUAUAAAAAGUGCAAACAACCGUUAUAAAAAGUGCAAAAAACCGUUAUGUAUUCUAUUAAAGAUAACGGUAAAAACCGUUAUAAAAAGUGCAAAAAACUGUUAACUAUGAUUAAAAAAAAUAAAAAAAAAUUCUAAUACAUAACGGUAAAAUCUUAAUACAUAACGGAUGCGUACUGUUAUGUAUGAGCGUCGUACCGUUAUCUAUGCUACUUUACAUAACGGUUUUUAACCGUUGUCUAUGAUACGUAUCAUAGAUAACACCACUAUACACAACGGUU
rnacentral:lncRNA from 1 species